UUAUUUCAAGUGGUGUCUGAU
rnacentral:piRNA from 1 species